UCUCCGUUGGUGAACCAGGGGAGGGAUCAUUACAGGAUCGAAAGACUCCUAUAACCCCUGUGAACUUACUACAAAUACGUUGCUUCGGCGGGUGCCCCGGGUCUCCCGGGGCGUUCAGCCCGCCGGCAGCCUUCAAAUUCUGUUUCUUUGCGUUGGCAUCUCGAGUAUACAAAAAUAAGUUAAAACUUUCAACAACGGAUCUCUUGGUUCUG
rnacentral:misc_RNA from 1 species